GACGAACGCUGGCGGCGCGCUUAACACAUGCAAGUCGAGCGAGAACCAGGCCUUCGGGCCUGGGGAAAGCGGCGAACGGGUGAGUAACACGUGGGUAACCCACCCUUGGUACCGGGAUAGCCCGAGGAAACUCGGAUUAAUACCGGAUGGCCCAACAGCUUCUCGGAGCGGUUGGAAAAGGUAGCUUCGGCCUCCGACCAAGGACGGGCCCGCGGCGGAUUAGCUUGUUGGUGAGGUAACGGCUCACCAAGGCGACGANCCGUAGCUGGUCUGAGAGGACGAUCAGCCACACUGGGACUGAGACACGGCCCAGACUCCUACGGGAGGCAGCAGUGGGAAUCUUGCGCAAUGGGCGAAAGGCUGACGCAGCGACGCCGCGUGUGGGAGGACGCCUUUCGGGUGGUAAACC
rnacentral:rRNA from 1 species